AUUGCGCUUGCGCUUACAUACAUUGAAACAUCUCUUUUUCGUAUAUUUUCUCUCUUUUUUACGUCUAGCAAUUUAGUUAUUACAUGAAAUAUCUUUUUUAUAAGGUACAUCGAUACUUUCACCUUGUUCGGUACAUUUACAGCACGUUCCAUCUAUUUUUCAUCGUAUAAUAAAGAACAAUUCCUAAACUUUAAAUUUACAUCAAUUUCAUCUUAACAUCAGAUAUUAUAGAAGAUAUUAUAAUAGGACAUAUUAUAAUAAACAUUUGAUAAGAAAGAGAUGAUAUUCAUUGUCUUUGUCGAAAGCUUUCAUUGACAAAGCUACUCACUUUGUCACUCUAAAAAUGGCAGUUGCAGGCGCACACUGUUUUAACCUCCAUCGAAUUCUGUUUAUGACUGUGGGAUUAUGGCCAUAUCAGAAAACAUUUAUUUGGCAAAUACAAGCAGUGUUCUUUUUCGGUGCAUACUUCUCCAUGUUAUUUUUUCAGUUUACGCCGUUCUUAACGACGACUUGUAACACGGAGUGUAUGGUAAAACGUAUUUCUUAUAUUUCUAUUACUGUAGUUUCUAUUAUGAAUUACUACUUAGUCUACUUCAAUUCUGAAGCUGUAAAGCAAGUUUUUCAACAUAUGCAGUUUGACUGGAAAAUGUUUAAAAAUACUGCAGCAAUGAAAAUAUUUGAAGAAUUUCUCUUCGAAUCUUAUAUUUUCGCAUUAUUUCUGUGCUUUACUUUUGUAAUAACUUCAUUUGUUCUUACGCUUAUGGAAAGUACGCCUAUGAUCCUUGAUGUUAUCGCACCAAUGAAUGACUCUCGACCACGAAACCUUGAACUAGAUUUCGAAUUCUUCAUCUUCAAUGAAGAACAAUAUUUCUUUUUUUUAUUACUGCUUGAGGGAGCAGCAGCAGGAUUCGGAGUUUGGUCGCUACUUGCGAUUUUCACGUUCUUCACUACAGUAAUGAAACAUUCAUGUGCAACAUAUAAAAUUGUUAGGUUAACGAGCGCACUAUUUUUCUUAAUAAUGGAGUUUAUAUACUAUUUACAUUAUCUAAAUUUUUUCAGUUAUUUAAUUCAAGAUACUGUACCUGUCUAUAUGCUACAACUUCCUGUUGUUCAAAGAAUACAAUAUAUGCAUCGGAAUAUUUGUCUUUCAGUUUACCUUCAUAGAAGAACCUUAGAGUUCUGCAAAGGCUUGUUACUUUCGUUUGAUAUAUGGUUGUUUCCAUUACUGUUAGUUUACGUCUUGUCAUUAAGUUGCGUCCUAUUUCGCAUUAGGAUUAUGGGCAAUCUUCAAACCUUGUAUACAUGAAGAAUAUGAUUUGUACAAGAGUAAUUCUACGUAUUUAAUGUGAGCAAAACAGGACCAAAAAAUCUUGUACUUUUAAUAUCUUCCAGAUCAUGUUAAUUAUUUUUAUGGAUACAUAUCCACUUAUAAAUUUUGCUAAAAUACCUAAUAAUAAAAAGAAAUUAUUCCUGAAAAUUGUAAAAUCCUCAUUGAUUCGUGUCACGGGCAUUGUAGUUUUUACAUAUUAAGGCUUUUGUAUGUGUACAUUACGUUGUGAUUCUGAUAGUAUAUUAUAUAUAAGUAAUUAAAUAUUAUAUAUUAUAUAUAAGUAAUUUAUGUAAUUACAUAACAUAUAAUAUUAGUUUAUAUAAUAUAUAAAUGUAUAUAUAUUUAACAUUUAUUAUAUAUAUUUAAUUACAUUCACUAUAAAUGUUUUGUAGGUAUACAAUGGUAUAAUACAGUUUAAUGGUUUUCAUGAUGUUGUUUUGUCCUGCGGACUUUUGGUUUGUUAUUUGGGGUACAUGUUUACAGCAAAUUGGUUUGCUCAGUCUUAUACUGACCACAGUGUAGAAGUAUUAGAAUCUACGUAAGAAAUAAUAUAUGAAUAAUUUUAUAUAUUUUAUGAUAUAAGUGUUGGAUUAGAUAUUUUGUUUCUGUAGUAGAUUUUAUUAGAUUUUUUGUUGAUACUGUUUGUACUAAUACCGAGUGGUGAAAAUAUAAAUAACAAUAUUGUUGCAUCCGGGGUGGUCCUAUAUCAGGAAUCCACCCGGUGCAGCGUAAAGCCGGUAGCCAGCUGAAGGCCAGCUGAGCGGCGACACGAGUUAAAAAGAAAACGCGAAUUUCCACGCAACGAAUCUCAUGGCGACGUAAACAAUAAAUAAACGGAGAGGUGGAGACAAGACUUCUGUCCGAUAAGACGUGUAUUCUUGAGUUGCUCGCUGAGCUGUACCGUUUCUAAAUGAAAUUCAAUAUUUCGGAAGUCACGAGUCUCGCGCGAACGCGUCCCGCAAGCGUGCGAGAGUGUUGCGAGUGUAUAUGAUGCUCUUUGGUAUGUAGCGCCGUUACCGAUUCAGAAAUUGUUUUUAAUGAUGCAAACAUCUAUAAAGAGUCAUAAACUAGUGUUGGGUGGUCUUUUUGUUGGGUCCAUGGAAGGAUUUUCUACGGUAAUAAAUAUUAUGUUUACAGUAAUCUAAGUAAUAACUUGGAUAUAUUUAAUAAUAAUUGAAGAUACUUGCUGAGAAAUAUUUAAUAAUUACUAUCUAUAUGGAGACGAAUUAUUGUUUCAGCUUGUGACUUCAGCUAUAUCUUAUUUUACUGUUUUGCACGCUAUGCAAUUAUGAGUAUAAAGUGACGAAGAAACAGCGAAGAAUAUAUAGUUAGCAGAGCAACGUUUACAUGCAUUAUAAGUGUUCUAAGAAA